UCAGGUGAAAAGAGGCAAUGCAUGAUGGGCAUGUUUUGACUUCAUUUAUUAUGGUUCAUUAUGGUUGCUGGCAUCACCACUAGAUGGCGACUCUAAGAAAAAGGAGGUGAACAAAGGCGUGGAGGCAGUAGAAAAAGAAGCAAAGCAUGAUGCUUCUGACUGAAGAUGGUGUGCGCGGUGAAGACCUCGGCCCCGGCGACUUGUACAACUCAUACUUACCUGGCAGGGGAGAUACCAUGAUCAAGAAGGUGGUUCACCCAGGGUGAGGCUCAGCCAUUGCACUCCGGUUGUGCUGACCCCUGCGAAUUCCCCAAAUGUGGGAAUCUCGACUGCAUAAUUUCUGGUAGUGGGGGACUGCGUUCGCGCUCUCCCCUGAUUAACAUGUGAAUGAUAAUUAGUCCAUGACCGACAAUUGAUUGUCAGCCAAAAUAUGAAAUGCACUACGUGGUGGCAACUCUAUGGAAAUGAUUACACUUAAAACGGUUCGUUUUGAGUCUACGCUUGCUCUGCUGCUCAUAGCGUUCGGUUUCAACGUCCUUCCCCGACCUGUGUGCACGUUCUCCACUCUGGUUUCCUUCCAUUUCCCCAAAACAUGCAUGAUAGCAUGCAUUGAGCGGCGCGCCAAAUUGCCCGUACGUGCGAGUGCGGACGGUUUUUCGGACGGUUUUUCGUCUCUGUGUGCCCUGCGUUUGACUGGCAAACGUUUUCAAGGUGUCACGCGCCUACCGCCCGAUGACUGCUGGGAUUGGCUCCAGCACGCCCGCGACCCCCCGUGGGGACAAGCGGUACAGAAAAUGGAUCGAUGGACAAUACAAAGUUUUCGUCAUCAGUGCUCACGGCCGGUGGAUGAACUGAAAGGUGUCUACGAUGUAAAAUUGAUGGUUUGGCCACUAUAGGCAUUUUUAAAAGACUCAUGAUGUUAAUUUUCAAUGACGUCGACGCUCAAUCUAAUCUAGCAUAGUCCUUUACUAGUGGUGGUGUGGUGAAUUUGGACAAAGGUUGCCCUCUGGGUAAAAAUGGUACUCUCGCAGAUGACUUCCCGCCGCGGCCCAUGUUUGAGGUAAGACUAUACUUUCAGGGAUCAUUUCUAUAGUUCUUAACUUGAGGAAUGUUUUUCUAAAGUGACGGUCUCGCUAACUACGAUGACGAGAUUGGAUGUUCCCUCCUGAGCGUGAAGCUGGCGUAGGAUAAUGAUUUAUCAUAUGUCCUUCACCUUUGAUGAACGUUCUUUACUUCCUUGUGGAGUAUUGAGGGAGGGAACAUGAUCAGAGUAGUUCUUGAAUAGUGUUAAAUCAAAAUGCGUAGUUACUGUCCACUAUCGUGCAAUGUAUGUCGCUGUUACAACCGCAAUCAUAACAUCGAAGCACUGUGACAAGAUAUGGUCAAUUUUAAUACUCUCUUUUAAUUUUAAGAUAAUUCUUUAACAUUUACUAUGUUAAAGAAUUAUCUUAAAACUAUCCUUUCUCGGCUGGAUGUCUCCCUAAAGUCCGUAUUUCCACUCAUCAAAGGUCUGUCAAACAGUCUUUCAAAUAUUGACAUAUUUCUCAAAAUCAAGAAACAUUUAGGUAUACUAAUGAAAUGUAACUAGGAUCUGAUGGUAUAUGGUCGUAGCUAAUUUCUUUCUUUAACAUUUAUAGGAAGCUCCGCUACAAGAUUGAUGUUUUAAUUUUGUAUUUGCUGGAUUGUAGUUAACGGUCUUGCCGACAUUUGUUAAUCUAGGGGAUACUAAAUCUAAGGCAUUGUAAAACAUAUACAGUCAUAUGAAGCAGUUAAUCUUUAUUUAUUUUUGGACAGAGAGAGGAAGCCCCGCUUUCGCAGAGCAUCAAAAAAUUGGGAUAGACUCUUGUUGUUCCUCCCCACGGAAAUCUUUAGUAAAAGGCGAAAGAUUUAUACGAUCUGAAGAGAAACUAGAGUGAUCUACCGAGUCGGGUAGGAACGGGCCACCCCAUUGCUGGUCUCACCAAAUUAACAGGCGGUCUCACGCUGAAAUUGCAGCAACUAUUCCUUCUAAUACAAACAAUAGACGUUCAUAGAUUUACUUUACUUAGAAGGACUCAACCUAAAUAGACAGUUUUAACGGGUAUUUUGUGUUCAUUAAUGUGUUUUUUCCUUUAAACAUUGUUGGCGCACAGGAUUACGGAUACGUGAUUCACGACGGCGCUCGUUAUUUCAAACAGCGUCACCUAUCGAUUGGGCAACUAUUUUGAGUGUGAGUUUUGAACGUAUAAACAGUUGUAUGUCUUGGUCCGUGUACUUUUGGUAUGAGAGAACGGGAAAUUAUCCGAUUUCCGUGUGUUAUUUUCACAUUUGUAAUUUCAGAUUUUUAUUCAACGCAAAUCGGGAAACAGAAAACGAUCGUAAUUUCUCAAAUGAGUGUUAAGAAAUGCUGGCAUGGAUUGGAAUGCAAUUCACCUCCACUGCGAUGGUGGCGUUCGAGGGCUAAUGUAAUUUGCCACGGCAGGAAAUAAGUAGUAGUUUGGCGAAGUGGGCCGCGUGUUUAUUUGCUGUGGGGUUUUUUUUUCGUCAAAAUGUUCAUCAAACAGCUAUUAUGCUUUCGGUCCCGAAAUGUAUCCAAAGAUCGGAUUGUUUUUGGCGAAUGACUAAUUCGUUUUGUUGGUCAUUAAAAGCUAUUCGCAUCAGGAGCUCAGUUCAUCGUUAUUCUAUUGGGUCAACGUGAACCACGUGACUCUAAACCUUCGUGAACACACGAAAAUCUGCAACCAUUUGAUCGAUGCACAGGUUGAAAACAGCUCAGUGACGCUGACUGUUAAUAGUUGUUGUUUGGGUGGUCGGUACGUGGCAUUAGUAUGAGUCGAUAUAUUCAAACCCUAACUUGAAUUGGUAGUCUCUUUAUUUAAGUAGUUUCCUCAGACCCAACUGUGGUUAUCGCUUCUCGGCCUUUUGGCUAAGAUCAAGUGUAGUAUCUGUUCUUAUCAGUUUAAUAUCUGAUACGUCCCCUAUCCGGGGACCAUAUAUUAAAUUGAUUUUUGGAACAGGGAGAUGGAAUAGGGGCUUGCUCCGUCCACUCCACGCAUCGACCUGGUAUUGCAGUACCUCCAGGAACGGUGCACCCCCUCUACCGGUGAAAGCAAUAGUAGCUUCAUAGAGAAUCCUCUUACCCCGUUAGCUUGACUUACACAGGAUAAAACAGAGUCAUGUCUUGAUGAAUGUGAUUCAAAUUCAUGACGGCUCGAUUUGAGCGGCAGUAAGAAUUUACCCAACCGUUUUAAAAUAUGUCUUACAUUGCUCGAGAUUCUCCUAUCAUUGUUCCAGGAUUAUUUAGUACAAUUCUUGUUCUCAAAAUUUUGAGGAAAUGUCAUUUUCAAAACUUGUUCAGAAAAAGGACAUACAUAUAUUUUUCUGCGGUAAUGUUGGAGAUUUUCAAUAAAUACAAAUUCAUACCGUUUUAGGGUUCUCAGGUGAAAAGAGGCAAUGCAUGAUGGGCAUGUUUUGACUUCAUUUAUUAUGGUUCAUUAUGGUUGCUGGCAUCACCACUAGAUGGCGACUCUAAGAAAAAGGAGGUGAACAAAGGCGUGGAGGCAGUAGAAAAAGAAGCAAAGCAUGAUGAUGGUGUGCGCGGUGAAGACCACGGCCCCGGCGACUCGUACAACUCAUACUUACCUGGCAGGGGAGAUACCAUGAUCAAGAAGGUGGUUCACCCAGGGUGAGGCUCAGCCAUUGCACUCCGGUUGUGCUGACCCCUGCGAAUUCCCCAAAUGUGGGAAUCUCGACUGCAUAAUUUCUGGUAGUGGGGGACUGCGUUCGCGCUCUCCCCUGAUAAAUAUGUAAAUGAUAAUUAGCCAAUGACCGACAAUUCCUUGUCUACGCUUGCUCUGCUGCUCAUAGCGUUCGGUUCCAACUCCCUUCCCCGACCUGUGUGCACGUUCUCCACUCUGGUUUCCUUCCAUUUCCCCAAAACAUGCAUGAUAGCAUGCAUUGAGCGGCGCGCCAAAUUGCCCGUACGCGCGAGUGCGGACGGUUUUUCGUCUCUGUGUGCCCUGCGUUUGACUGGCAAACGUUUUCAAGGUGUCACGCGCCUACCGCCCGAUGACUGCUGGGAUUGGCUCCAGCACGCCCGCGACCCCCCGUGGGGACAAGCGGUACAGAAAAUGGAUCGAUGGACAAUACAAAGUUUUCGUCAUCAGCUCUCACGGCCGGUGGAUGAACUGAAAGGUGUCUACGAUGUAAAAUUGAUGGUUUGGCCACUAUAGGCAUUUUUAAAAGACUCAUGAUGUUAAUUUUCAAUGACGUCGACGCUCAAUCUAAUCUAGCAUAGUCCUUUACUAGUGGUGGUGUGGUGAAUUUGGACAAAGGUUGCCCUCUGGGUAAAAAUGGUACUCUCGCAGAUGACUUCCCGCCGCGGCCCAUGUUUGAGUUAAGACUAUACUUUCAGGGAUCAUUUCUAUAGUUUUUAACUUGAGAAGUGCUUUUCUAAAGUGACGGUCACGCUAACUACGAUGACGAGAAUCGAUGUUCCUUCCUGAGCGUGAAGCUGGCGUAGGAUAAUGAUUUAUCAUAUGUCCUUCACCUUUGAUGAACGUUCUUUACUUCCUUGUGGAGUAUUGAGGGAGGGAACAUGAUCAGAGUAG